rnacentral:rRNA from 1 species
GACGAACGCUGGCGGCGUGCUUAACACAUGCAAGUCGAACGGAAAGGCCCUGCUUUUGUGGGGUGCUCGAGUGGCGAACGGGUGAGUAACACGUGAGUAACCUGCCCUUGGCUUUGGGAUGACUUCAGGAAACUGGGGCUAAUACCGGAUAGGAGCUCCUGCUGCAGGGUGGGGGUUGGAAAGUUUCGGUGGUUGGGGAUGGACGGGGGGCUUAUCAGCUUGUUGGGGGGGGAGUGGCUUACCAGGGCUUUGACGGGUAGCCGGCCUGAGAGGGUGACCGGCCACAUUGGGACUGCGAUACGGCCCAGACUCCUACGGGAGGCAGCAGUGGGGAAUAUUGCACAAUGGGCGGACGCCUGAUGCAGCAACGCCGCGUGCGGGAUGACGGCCUUCGUGUUGUAAACCGCUUUCGCCUGUGACGAAGCGUGAGUGACGGUAAUGGGUAAAGAAGCACCGGCUAACUACGUG